rnacentral:rRNA from 1 species
UACAGAGGGUGCGAGCGUUAAUCGGAAUUACUGGGCGUAAAGCGUGCGUAGACGGCUAUCUAAGUCGGGUGUGAAAGCCCCGGGCUCAACCUGGGAAUUGCAUUCGAGACUGAAUAGCUAGGGUACGGUAGAGGGAAGCGGAAUUUCCGGUGUAGCGGUGAAAUGCGUAGAUAUCGGGAGGAACACCUGUGGCGAAGGCGGCUUUCUGGGCCUUACCUGACGCUGAGACGCGAAAGCGUGGGGAGCGAACCGG